AUUUCCGUGUGCAAGUUUUAAUUAACUAUAGUCUACGUGAUGUUCUAUGGUGCAAGAGAUUCUGCGAGAUUCUGCAUCGUUCAAAGAAGCAAUGUGAUUAGCAGUAUAUAGGAAUUAUUUUUGGUUUAGGAGAAUGUGCUGGGCACAAACUUAAACAUAACGAUAGACAAUGUACUAAAUUAAUCUUUUACGAUCUUUUAAGAAUUAUUUCAACCUAAAAUACGAUUGAAUCUAUCAAAUAUUAAAGUUCUAAAUUUCAACUCCUUCUCAUAAUCAUUGCCAAAAAAUAUUAUUGCAACAUUUUAGCUUUUAGUUAGAAGGUAAACAAGGUGGAUGGAGUAAAAGUUCUUACAAGAACGUUACCUUGUAAUUUAUAAGAUUUAAUCUUGUUACUUGUUUGCCUUGGGUGAACGUGCUUAACUAACCUGGCAACAAGAGUUUUUGAAUCAAGCAAAUUACCUUCCCUAGUUUGUUUAGUCCCUAGUUUAGUUAGUUGUCCAUAGAUGAGUACUCGUUUACAAUUGCGGGAUUCAGUUCAGUACACGCCAGUUCAUUUGGAACCUCUACAAGAAUAUGUAAUAGACUACGACAAGUAUAGAAAGACAGAAAACGUAAAGAAAAUGGUGAAAACAUUCGUCAAAGGAUUAUCUUUCAGCCAGUUUCCUCUUAGGCUGAUUGAAUCCUUUGCAACCAGAGCCAAAGGACAUAAUCAACUGGAGGAACUUACGCUACACAACAAUUCAGCUACACAACAGUAACCUUGAAUAACUUGUGUGGUUCAGGUAAUAUCAGGUGUGGGGAUCGAACCCACGUCUCUAUGUAGAGACCAGAACUUAAGUCUGGCGCCUUAACCACUCGGCCAACCUGAUUGUGUUAGUAGGUAAUGACCCCUAAAAGUUAUGAAAAUUUAGCAAGACGUAAAGUUGAUUUUGGGUUACUAAGGGCUACACGGACGCUGCUAAAGUUUAACCUAAAUUGGGAUUCCGUUAGUCUAUGAACGCAUGCAAACUAUGGAAUAUGGAAAUGGUGUUGAAGACGUUUACAGCUAUUCAUAACGAAUGUUGACUGUGUGACGUCUGGCCGUGGUAAAGACUUUUGUGUAUCGUGCUAGAUAUUGGAGGUUGAAUAUACGAUGCAACCUUAUAACGCAUAACUGGCUGAAUCUUGUUCAUGUUAAAGAAGCGUGUGGGCUGCUAGGCUGGUCACAAGACUUAUUUCGUCACACAAUCAACCACCAUAACUUCAUAGAAGCAUUGUCAUCCAUGCCAUUCAGUUUGGUGUGCUGUUUGAGCCUACGAAGAAAUUGCUCCAAAAUUUGAACGCUACGAUCAUCUUUCGGUAUUC
rnacentral:tRNA from 1 species